rnacentral:lncRNA from 1 species
GCCCGUCAGCUGUCCUCCCGAAAACUCAUUGAAUGUCUGGGAUGGAAAGACUUCAGUACUGAGGUGUUCGGUAUGGCGUUUCUUUUUAUUCUUAGAUGUUCGACUAGAUUUUAUCUUAGCUAAAUUUUUUAUUUUCUUUCAGUAAUCAUGGUUCCCAUAAUCCAAAGAAGAAUUACUUUAAGCAAGCUGCGAAUUAGAUGGAGGUCGAAGAGACUUCUCUUCCAGUCGAACCGUGGC